UUUGAAAGUGGAGAAAUACAUAGUUUAUAUAUACAUCAAUAUAAAAAAAGUAUAGACGAGACUUCUAUAUGCACCGUCUUCUCCAAAAGUAAGCGAGAUACCUGUCUAACGUGAACCUGAGAAUACAAGCAGUUUUAAAAAUAUCAGCAUAAAGCUGGUAAGUUCAUAAGCGGUUGAGAUCUGGUAAAAGAAAACGUUCCUUUGAUUUCAUGAAAAGUUGUUAUCCAAGAAAAUCCCAUACUUUCUUAUAAAAGAAGUUUGGUUAUCCAAUUGUUCAACAACCUAUUUAUGAAAGGUUAAGUUAUCCCAAGAAAACCCAUAUUUUCCUUAAAAGUCAAUGGUUGAUUUUCGAUUCGGAAAUGAAGUGUACAAGUAUCUACCAUACCGGUAUCGUUAGGUGCCGUUUCCUUGAAAGUUCAGUUACUCUCGGUGAAGUACAUUAGUUUUAAUACACACAUAAAACUAAUAAGUAGGUAGUGAACUAAUUCCUAAGGGUAUUGCUGAUACCCUCUAGUAAUCAAAACAGUUAUUACCUUGAGGUUAGUUCACUAGGUUCAUUAUUACUAAAAGUAAAUCUACAUCAUCUAAGUUGCGAGUUCUAUAACCAUACAAUAAACUAGAUAUGGCUCGUAACGGGGCCUGUAUCAUUUUAUGACUUUGUCACCCGUAGAUCUGUCGGUCCCACUAUUGCUAGCAACAAGGUGCGGGGUAGUCAGUCCCGUAUAUAUCUAUAUACACAAGUCACGUUCUCCCUCCAGGAGAUUCUGGUUACAGGGUCGGUCCUCGACUCUCGUAUCUAUGGGGAGUGUUACCGAGGACUUGUCUCCAAUCUUAAGAAUAACGAAUUUACAAGUAAUGAUAUGGAAAAUCCCGUUUUAUGAUUGGCAUGAAUCCUUUGUGAAAUAUAAAAUAUAACAUUUUAUAAUGAGUUUCACAAAUUUCCUUGUUUUAGUUUGAAAACUAACUCUACAAGUUAAUGUCUUAAUCGGUUGGUAAAAACGGUUUUCAGUGUUAAAAGUGUAUUGAACAUAUAAGAAUUUCAUAUGAAACAAUAAGUUUUGAGUACAAGUUUCAUUGUACUUUUGCUUGUAUUCCCCCCCUGAAAACAUGAAAAACUCGGAAAAAGGUAGGGGUAUGAACUCACCUGACGUGGGUGUGCCGGGUAGGACGCUAUGUGUCAAUUUAGGACUUGAACACACGCGAGGAUCCUAUGUAACAUGAAGCAAUACAAAAUUGUAUCUAAUUAGCUAUCUAAUCACUAAUUAAGCAAGUAAAUACACUCUAAUGCGUGGAAACACUUUAUUUCAAGUGUUAGGAAUGAUACAGGUUGCAUCUAAGGAGUGUAUGGCCUCGUUAUGGAGUUUACUCUUCAAGUGUAAGCCCUUAGGGGUGUUUACGGCCCAAAGACCACUUCCCCAUGAGUUUACGGCCGUAAACUCAUGGUAGUGGUGUUCUUGGUUGCUUAAAGAUCUUAUAUCACUUAGGGAAGUAAGCUAGACUCCAUUCUAAGGCAUAGGAAGCGACUAGGGCUCCAAAUGGACCUUGGGGGAGUUCACGGCUGUAAACAUAUGAGUUUACGACUGUAAACUCAUAUUUGACCCUUCAUUUCAGGCUUUGAUGGUUCUAGGUUAAGCAUACAAGUUUCUAGUCAUUUAUACAAGCCAUAGGGGGAAGUUAGGGCACCAUAUGACCCUCUUUAGGGAGUUUACGGCCAAAGGACCAAUUCCUUGGGGGUUUAUGGCCGUAAACUCUAUAAGGACUUGGUUUCUUUGAUGUUUAAGGUCCAUACUUCGAUGGUGGUUGAUUCUAUGUUGAGUUCUAGGCAUAAGGAAGGAAGAAAGGGCAACAUUGCACCCUUAAAUCGAUUUCACGGCCCAAGAACAUUCAUAGGCCAUAAACUCUCAUUCAUCCUUGAUUCAUGGUGUUUUUUGACCCCAAAACAUGUUAAUCCUAGUGUACAAUGAGCUAGUAUAGGAAUACUUACAAGCUAGGAGCUUGAAAUGAAUGAUUCUUGAUCAAAUCCGAGUUGUAGAGAGAGAGUAGAGAGAGGGAUUUCUAAGAGUUGGAAAAGGGUGAAAUGGAGGACCACUCAUCCCUUAUAUAGGGUGAGUUUACUGCCCAAGUGUGUUUACCGCCUGGAGUUUACCGCCCGAAGUUUACUGUCGUAAACCCCAUGUUUACGGCCGUAAACUCUAUCUUAUGGAGUUUAUGGCAUGGUUUUUGAUGUUAUGACUUUAGUGGCAGUUUUCUAACACUUGAUCCUUAAGUGUAGUCGGGUCGGAAUACUAAUACGGACUUUUAAUUUGGGCUAAAAGAUAGCGGAAAUAAACUUGAUUUUUAAAUGAAGUGAUAGACUGCUGAAAUUAUAUAUACGAAAUAUUCGGAUUGUCACAUCAUCCCCCCAUUAGAGGGAAUUUCGUCCCGAAAUUAGAGUUCGAAUAACUAAGUUGUUAUACAAUAAUUAAGCAAAAGACGAGGGUAUUUAUGUUUCAUUUGAUCCUCGCGCUCCCAAGUGAACUCCGGUCCUCGUUUGGCGUUCCAACGAACCUUCACAAUUGGGAUGCGGCUUUUCUUUGUUCGUUUGAUCUCCUAAUCCAUGAUUUCGAUUGGUUCUUCCAUGAAGUUCAGAUUUUCGUUGAUUUCGAUCUCAUCAAGAGGGAUCACAAGGGUUUUAUCAGAUAGGCACUUCUUCAGAUUAGAGACAUGGAAUACAGGAUGGAUGUUGCUAAGUUCUUGGGGUAAUCAGAGUUUAUAGGCUACGGGACCGAUCCUAGUGAGGAUCUCGAAAGGUCCUAUGUACCUUGGGUUCAAUUUCUCAUGCUUUCCAAAGCGGAUCAUGCCUUUCCAGGGCGAGACCUUCAACAGGACAUGAUCUCCAACUUGGAAUUCCAAGGGUUUUUGUCGUUUAUCGGCAUAGCUCUUUUGUCUGUCUCUAGAGGCUUUUAAUCGAUCUCCGAUUUGGAUGAUCUUCUCGGUAGUUUCGCGGAUGAUUUCAGGGCCUGUGAGAGCACUGUCGGGGACUCGAACCUUGGCUAGCUGUGUGUCCCCUACGUCGGCCCAGCACAGUGGGGAUUUGCACUUUCGACCGUAGAGGGCUUCGAAUGGGGAAGCCUUGAUAUUAGUGUGGUAACUGUUGUUAUACGAGAAUUCGAUCAAGGGUAGAUGAGUGUCCCAUGACUAUCCGAAAUCGAUGAGACAUGCUCUCAACAUGUCUUCCAAGGUCUGGAUAGUUCUCUCACUCUACCCAUCUGUCUGAGGAGGAUAAGCUGUGCUCAUGUCUAACUUAGUUCCAAGGGCCUUCUGUAGGGACUGCCAAAAUCUCGAGGUAAACCUACUAUCUCGAUCGGAGAUAAUGGACACAGGCACACCGUGUAGUCAGACUACCUCUUGAAUGUAGAUUUGCGUGAGUCUUUCCAUCUUGAAUGUUUCUUUAAACGGCAGGAAGUGAGCGGAUUUUGUCAAUCAAUCGACAAUUACCCAAAUGGUAUCGUACCCACUCGGAGAUUUGGGUAAUUUGGUAAUGAAAUCCAUAGUAAUCAUCUCCCAUUUCCACUCAGGUAUUUCAGGCUGCUAGAGUAGACCUGAGGGCUUCUGAUAUUCGACCUUCACCUUGGCGCAAGUCAGACACUUGCCCACGAAGGUAGCGAUUUCGGCUUUCAUGUUUGGCCACCAGUAUAGUUUCUUGAGAUCCAGGUACAUCUUAUCCGAACAUGGGUGCACGGAGUAUCUAGUCUUGUGAGCUUCGUUCAUGACAGCCUCCCUGAAACCUCCGAACUUUGGGGUCCAGAUUCGAUCCAUGAAACAAUAGACUCCGUCACCUCUGAUCUCAAGAUUCUUAUCCAUUCCCCUUAAGGCUUCAUUCAACGCGUUCUCUGGUUUUAGGCUUCCAACUGAGCCUCUCGGAUUUAUGCGGAUAAGUGUGAAUGGAUGGUCAUUGUCAGUGUCUUCGCCUUGUUGCCUGAGCUUUCUUUUCGGCUAAGGGCAUCUGCCACCACAUUGGCCUUGCCGGGAUGGUAGCGGAUAUCGCACUCAUAGUCGCUGAGUAGCUCUACCCAUCGCCGUUGUCUCAUGUUUAAGUCUUUCUGAUCGAAGAUGUGUUGUAGGCUUUUAUGGUCGGUGAAAAUCGUGCACUUGGUCCCAUAAAGGUAAUGUCUCCAAAUCUUCAAUGCGAAGACCACUGCUCCUAACUCCAGGUCAUGAGUCGUAUAGUUGACUUCAUGUGCUUUCAGCUAUCUUGAGGCAUAAGCAAUAACUUUUCCUCGCUGCAUGAGCACACAGCCUAAGCCCUGAUUGGACGCAUCGCAGUAGACAACGAAGUCUUCCGUCCCUUCGGGCAGGGAUAGGAUAGGUGCGCUACACAAGGAUCGCUUCAAGGUUUGGAAUGCAACAUCUUGCUUUUCACUCCAACAAAAGGGUACACCUUUCUGUGUCAGAGUAGUUAAGGGUUUGGCAAUUCUAGAAAAAUUCUGGAUGAACCUACGAUAAUAGCCGGCAAGACCCAAGAAUUGACGGAUUUCUGUGGGUGUCUUCGGUGCCGACCAAUUCUCUAUCGCCUUGAUUUUGGAAGGAUCCACGUGUAUGCCCUCCUCACUUACCAUGUGACCUAGGAAAGUUACCUUCUGAAUCUAGAAUUCACACUUGGAGAAUUUUGCGUACAGCUUGUCCGAUCUAAGUGUUUCCAGUACUAAUCUCAAGUGUUGUUUGUGAUCUUCCUCACUUCUUAAAUAGACAAGUAUAUCGUCUAUGAACACGAUAACAAACUUGUCUAGGAAAGGGCGACACACUCAGUUCAUCAGGUCCACGAACACUGCCGGUGCGUUGGUUAGACCAAAGGGCAUCACUACAAACUCGUAGUGACCAUAUCGAGUCCUGAAUGCUAUCUUGGAAACAUCACUCUCAUGAACUCGCAGCUGAUGGUACCCUGAUCUAAGGUCUAUUUUCGAGAAGUAACUGGCUCCCUGAAGUUGAUUGAAAAGUUCAUCUAUUCGAGGAAGAGGAUAACGGUUUUUGACGGUCAGCUUGUUCAAUUCUCGGUAGUUUAUACACAUCCAAAAGGAUCCAUCUUUCUUCUUCACAAAUAACACCGGGGCUCCUCAGGGUGAGGAACUCGGCCUGAUGAACCCUUUGUUGUGUAGCUCAUUAAGUUGACUGGAUAACUCCUGCAUUUCUGCUUGCGCUAAGCGAUAUGGAGACUUGGCUAUGGGGGUAGCUCCAGGAAUUAGGUCGAUGCGAAACUCGACUUAGCGUUCGGGAGAAAUUCCCGGGAGCUCUUCGGGAAAGACAUCUGGAAAGCUGCAGACUUUGGGGAUGCUCUCGAGGUCUUUAACUUCCUGUUUCUCGUUAAUUACAUGAGCUAGGAAUGCAUUGCACUCCUUUCGCAGGAGCUUAUGGGCUUUGAUGCAUGAAAUUAUGCGAAGAUUGGAACUAAGUUUAUCACCAUAGAUCAUGAGGGUCUGGCCAGAAGGAAGAUUGAGACGGAUAGCUUUUCCGUAACAAAGGAUAUCAGCAUGAUUGGUACUCAACCAAUCCAUGCCAAUGAUAGCAUCAAAGCUCUUUAUGGACACCGUCAUAAGGUCGAUGGGAAAGGAAAGUUCGUUUAGGGUAAGGGUGCAUCUUAUGAAUACAUCGUUAGUGUUCUCUUUCUCGCUGUUAGCCAUCUGUACGGUAAACAUUUUGGUUAAUGGUUGGGGACUAUGUUUAAGAAGAUGUUUGAAUGAAUGGCUAAAAAAACUUCGUUCCGCACCAGAAUCGAAAAGGAUGCAUGCAUAAGAGUUGUCGAGAAGGAACGUACCCAUGACAACGAUGGGAUCGGCGACUGCCUCCUCUUGCCCCAUAGUUAGAACUCUCCCGGUGUUGUUGGUUGUUGUUGCUUUGGGGCAGUUUCGCUUGUAAUGCCCGACCUCACCACAAUCGUAGCAGGUUUGACUGACACCUGCUCCAGAUGCUUGAUUUGUUGGUUGGGCUAGUGUUUUGCAGUUCCGAGCAGUAUGGCCCUUUUUGCCAUAGUUGUUGCAGAGCAUCUCAGGACAUGGGCUGGAAGUGAGAUUAUGGUAGUUGCACUUGUCGCACCAAGGGAGGUUACCAACAUACCUAUUGGUAGGUGCUUGAGCUGUAGGAGCGGCGACAGAGGUAGUAACAGCGUGGACUGCCACUGUUUGCUCUCUCUUUGAGGGCUCCUACGAAGACUGACCCUUCUUCUGUUUCCAGAAUUUUCUUUUCUCACCAGUCCCUUUAGCCGGUUCAGGAGUGGUGGUCACUUCAUCGAGAUCGACUCCAUGAUCGAUCAGAGUCUGCGCCAGGCAAUUUGCGCUGUCGAAGGUGUUUGGCCUAGCAGCCAAGACAUUUCCUUUGGUUGCCUGGUUCAGCCCCCAAAUGAAUCUUUCAAUCUUUUUGCUUUCUAGGGUGACCAUUCCCAGAAAAGGAGCGCUAGGUCUUCAAACCUAGAAGUGUAGGCGGAAACAUCAGAACUUUUCAUCUUUAGGUUCCAGAGUUCAUGCUACAGUUUCUGCAUUUCGCCCCGCGGGUAGUACUCGGCAAGCAUUAACUCCUUCAAGCUCUCCCAACCCAUGGCGUUUGAUACUGGCAGAGUUAAGGAUUUGACUCGUCCAUUCCACCAAGUCAAUGCUUUGUCGGUGAAAGUGCAGGCGGCAAAUUUCACCUUGUUGGCUUCCGAGCGAGAACAAAUUUCUAAGAUAGACUUGAUCUUCUCGAACCAUCGAGUCAAGGUGAUGACACCUCCAGUGCCAUUGAAAGAUGUGGAUUUCGCAUUCAUGAAGUCUUUAGAGGAACACUCCUUCUAGUGUCUCUGACCACCUUCCUGGUUUUGGGGCUGAGUACCACCUCCUGGCCCGCCAGAGCCGUCGGGGUUUAUUUAUGACAUUGCAGCAGCCACAGCAGCAGUAACAACUGCUUGGAACACGGCGGGAUCAAAUGGAGGAGGUGGCAGAGGAGGAUUGUUGUUCUUCGAGUUGGGUCUUUUUUUGGAGGCAUCUUGAUCUAAAAUGAUCAGGAAAGAGAGGAUGGUAAGUCCUCUGGAUAGAAUCAAGAGAUAUGGAACAAGAGAUAUCUCAUUAUGGCAGUUAGAGUGUUCUACUAGGUGAUAGAACAGGAAAAAGUUACUGAAGCAAGUGAACUAUCGCUAAGGAAAGAAUGAGUAGCAACACUUGGAAUGAAUUUCUAUAACGUAUUCGGCUUUGGCUAAAAUACCCCUAUAGUAUUUUAUGUUUUGUUGCGACGAUGACUUGUUGUUUGGAUAUUUGGUAAGUUUUAGGCCUGCUGUACACCACAGUCACUCCCAAACACAUGUUGGCCGUGUCUCAAAUGAAUAUAGUUGAUCAGGCUAUAUUGACCCUAGACACGACUACAUAACUGCCCAGGCUUAACCGCAGUGCCCAACACCCAAUUACUUUUGUUUUGUUCUAAUCGUGGUUACUGUUUCUGAUAUUUAGGUAUUCUUGUAUAUUUUUUUUUUGUAAAAAUACUUGUAUUUUAAAGUAUACUUUUAGUUCAGAGCACUUCGGCCCCUUAGUGUUUAUAGUUGUAUACCAUGUAAGGUUCGGUAUACUUAGUUCACUAUAAACAAAGGCUCUGAUACCAAUCUGUCACACCCCGAAACCGACGGUGGAAAUGUUCCGGAGUGGAGGACGUCAUGCGUAAUAUCACAACCAUUGUACAUAGUAAGCAUAGUAAACACAACCAUUACAUUACAUAUGAAUAUUUACAUUUGUUUGAAAGUGGAGAAAUACAUAGUAAGGUUCGGUAUACUUAGUUCACUAUAAACAAAGGCUCUGAUACCAAUCUGUCACACCCCGAAACCGACGGUGGAAAUGUUCCGGAGUGGAGGACGUCAUGCGUAAUAUCACAACCAUUGUACAUAGUAAGCAUAGUAAACACAACCAUUACAUUACAUAUGAAUAUUUACAUUUGUUUGAAAGUGGAGAAAUACAUAGUAUAUAUAUACAUAAGUAUAACAAAAGUAUAGAUGAGACUUCUAUAUGCACCGUCUUCUCCAAAAGUAAGCGAGAUACCUGUCUAACGUGAACCUGAAAAUACAAGCAGUUUUAAAAAUAUCAGCAUAAAGCUGGUGAGUUCAUAAGCGGUUGAGUUCUGGUAAAAGAAAACGUUCCUUUGAUUUCAUGAAAAGUUGUUAUCCAAGAAAAUCCCAUAUUUUCUUAUAAAAGAAGUUUGGUUAUCCAAUUUUAAACAACCUAUUUAUGAAAGGUUAAGUUAUCCCAGGAAAACCCAUAUUUUCCUUAAAAGUCAAUGGUUGAUUAUCGAUCCGGAAAUGAAGUGUACAAGUAUCUACCAUACUUGUAUCGUUAGGUGCAGUUUCCUUGAAAGUU
rnacentral:lncRNA from 1 species